rnacentral:rRNA from 1 species
UACGGAGGGUGCGAGCGUUGUCCGGAAUCACUGGGCGUAAAGGGCGCGUAGGCGGCCUGUUAAGUAGGGGGUGAAAUCCUGCGGCUUAACCGCAGGGCUGCCUUCUAAACUGUCGGGCUCGAGCACAGUAGAGGCAGGUGGAAUUCCCGGUGUAGCGGUGGAAUGCGUAGAGAUCGGGAAGAACAUCAGUGGCGAAGGCGGCCUGCUGGGCUGUUGCUGACGCUGAGGCGCGACAGCGUGGGGAGCAAACAGG